rnacentral:rRNA from 1 species
CCUACGGGAGGCAGCAGUAGGGAAUAUUGCUCAAUGGGGGAAACCCUGAAGCAGCAACGCCGCGUGGAGGAUGAAGGUUUUCGGAUUGUAAACUUCUUUUGUUAGAGAAGAUAAUGACGGUAUCUAACGAAUAAGCACCGGCUAACUCCGUGCCAGCAGCCGCGGUAAUACGGAGGGUGCAAGCGUUACACGGAAUCACUGGGCGUAAAGGGCGCGUAGGCGGGUUAGCAAGUCAGAUGUGAAAUCCUAUGGCUUAACCAUAGAACUGCAUUUGAAACUGUUAUUCUAGAGUAUGGGAGAGGUAGGUGGAAUUCUUGGUGUAGGGGUAAAAUCCGUAGAGAUCAAGAAGAAUACUCAUUGCGAAGGCGACCUGCUAGAACGUAACUGACGCUGAUGCGCGAAAGCGUGGGGAGCAAACAGGAUUAGAUACCCGGGUAGUC